CAGUCCGUCCUUGACAACGGCCGAGAGAUCAAAGAGCCCCGCCGCGGGACGCUUUCGGGAGGGGCGCAGCACCCCCCCCCCCCCCGGAUCACCCCCCGCGGCGAGGGGGCGAGGGGGGUGGUGGUUGGGCUCCUCGUGGUGGUAGACGUCCCCGCUGGGGUGGAUGAAGACGCAAUCGUCGGCGGCGACCGGCUCGUCCCUUCUCCAGCACCUGCCGCAAAGGACCCGGGCCGAGGGCAGCUCCACCUCGGUCGACUCGGACCAGUCCUCGGAGUCGGCAUCGCCCUCCGCGUCGCCGGCCCCACCCUCGUCGCCCUCGCCCUCGCCCUCCCCCUCACCGUCCCCGUCGCCCUUCCCGUUCUCGUACUCGUAGAUCCCCUCGUCGCCGUCGUCCUCGAUCUUGGCCGUGGAGGCGCCCGGCUCCUGGCUCCGGCGGGCGAGCGAGCGGAGCUUGUCGUCCAGUUGCUCGGCCCAGGCGACCUGGGUCGGCGUCGCCGGUUGCUGCGACUCGGGUUGCGGUUGCUGCGUCGUCGUCGUCGUCUGUGUCGUCGGGGGCGGCUCUUCGUCGGCCGUGUCCUGGAGCUCCGACUCGAGGUACUCGAAGGCCUUCUUCAGGGCCUCGUGCUCCUGCCUCAUCGAGGGCGAGUGCGGGGUCUCCCGGCGGACGCUGUUGCUCCCGCUCCGGCAGCGGGGCCGCGGGCGGAGCCCGCCGCCUCCCUCGAUCCGAUCCGCGUUCGCCUUCACCGACAGUUUCCCCUCCAGCUGGUGAGCGUCCUCUGUAUCUGAAACACAAUCCAAUUCUCUCAUUAGGGGCCGUCCAAGUAUCACGUAAAGUCCCAUUCUAACAAAAACAAUGCGAAUCCAUUUCUGAUCGGUUCCGGUACUCUAGGCAUCCACAGAGUCACAAACGGGAAUAAAGAUUACAGGUUCACCGAUUGCAAAGAUUAUAGACUGGAAUGGACCGGAUACGCGCGUGGAUGGCGUCUGACUCUAGGUCAAUAAUAGGUCCCGGGUUCGAAUCCCGGUGUUGGCGACAAAUUUUCAUGGAACUGACGAGUGGAUCUGCAAGCAGAGUUCCCUCGGCCUUAAUCCCUGGAAAUUUGUAAGCCUGAGCAUCGAUGUCUAUCUCCCUGAUGUCUAAGGACAAUAAAUAGCGUCUAUAGAUGGCUGUUGAGUCCUAAAGAUUUAUAACAAAGGAAUAGAAGCCAAAAAACUCUCUCCAAAAAAAAAAAAAAAAAAAAAAAAAACAUAAAAUAUCUUAGUCAGGAGUUAAUUUCAGUGAUUUUCGUUGCGCAAAUCGUGUUCUACGUGAAAUUUUAGUUGCGAAACCCGUUUCAGAAAGCUUAAUUUUGUACCAUGUCUAUUGGUCCAGUCAAAUUUACAAAAUAAAGCAUCAUAUUGAUCAUGGUUUCUCGUAGUGGAACAGAAUGUGUGGAAGGGAAAUGGAAAGUCUUGAUUGGAGUUAGAUUAUGAAGGUGAAUGAAGGUCAUUUGACAAAUUUUCCUUGACAUUUUCGUCAUUUUCCCUGACUUCUUAAAAUUCCCUAACAUUUCUCGGUUUUCCCUGACUGUGGCAACCCUGAGAUUAAUCGAUUCAUCGCAAAGCACGCCACGCCAUUGGUCGUCUUUCCGUGUUUCCGUGGUCAUGAAUGGCACCGCAAAGGGAAAAUAAUGCAUAAGGGAAAACGAGGAGCUGAAGUAGAGAUGCACAUCGCGAAGAAAUUGACACUCAACAUUGCACCGGCCGUUUCCACGCAGAGACCACCAGGGAGAGAUAGGAGAUCCGAUCUUCUUCUUGACGCGGUCCCUCUUUGCUUUGUGAAGUUUGCGCCACAAAUAAUUUGGAUCAGGAAGUUGCACUCUAAAGCAAAUAAAAUAUUCAGCCGAGAGCAAGCACCGCGGAAACCUUUCACUUGCUAAUGGGUUCCAACUCUAGUCUCGUGCUUUGUUCAAAGUGGGGCGUUUUAAAAAGGAAUCAACAAUUUAAGAGCCUUUUACCGUUAUAGGCGACGAAAAGUUUAUGAAAAUCAUUCCAAAGCUGUUUAAUUACAUUUACAAUAAUCGCCAUUACAGAAAAAUAAUAGCGAAAUGGUGGGUUAAGCCAGAGGUCGACGCACUAAUAUUCCUUUUGUAGCGAACGAAGGGAUGAUGAGCAGUGGCGUGGCGUGAAUUACGAUACAUCGAUUGUUAUGCCAUUUAAAUCUAUGAAAAAGAUCGAUUAUCAAGGUGUUCGCAGCGAACACCGUAGUAAUCGAUUCUUUACCAUAGCUUCAAAUGGCGAGAUAUCGAUAAUCGAUUAUUCACGCCACGCCACUGAUGAUGAGACAGUUACUGCCGUGCUACGGAAGAACGCCGUAUGAACAUUCGAGAGUUGCCAAAUUUCCUUUGAUGAAAUGUUCAUUAAUGAGGAAAAUUAUAAAUAUUUUUCCUUGAAAUUUUCAGGAAAAUUAGAUGAAAAUACAAACAAUAUUCUCUGAAAAAUUGGAAGGAAAACAUCCAUAAGUUUGCCAGGGAAUUCGUGUUUUAUCGAAGAAAAUUUGGCAACGCUUGAAGCUUCAUACCGCAUUUUCCCUUAGCACGGCAGAGUACUCCUUCAGCAUGGCCAAAUGUACUUACAUCGUAUUCUUUUUCAAGUAACACCGUAAAAUGUUGAUAAUAGGCUCGCGAAAGCUUCUCAAACCAACAACGAAAGUCUUUCAAGGACUUAUCAAUUGAACGUAUUAAUGCGAAAAGGAGAUAUGUGGAAGUGGAAAGAUGGGGUGUGCUCGUUAGUGGUCGGGCCAUAAGAAUGAAUGGGGAAUAUGAAGCGCCAGUGACGUCAGCGGCAAUUAAAAAGCGCACCGUCAACGUCACCGUCGUCGUAGGGGCGCUUUAACUCAUGAGCCCUGUCCACAACGCUCUCUUGCCAUGCGCGCGGCUCAUGAGUUAGCAUAUUUUGGCGCUUAGCUCCUUUUGAUUUAAUGUCAAAUCCCGCUUUUCAAUUUUCUCAAAAGGAACUAUAACCACUUUUAUAUUGUUUCUUAUGACCCAACUAACGAGCUCACCCCAUCUUUCCACUUGCACAUAUCUACUUUUCGCAUAAAUACGUCCAAUUGAUCUCUGAAGGGGAAAAUUGAUGCAGGUCAACACACACAACACACACAGGUCACAAGGGGGGGGGGGGGGGGUCACAGUGUCACAGGGGUGCACAGUCAGGGAAAACCGGGAAAUGUCAGGGAAAAUUUGUUAAAUCACCUUCAUUUUCUUUCUAGAAUGGGCUUGAGAUCUUCGACAAGAAAAUUUGCCCGAAAACAAUUUUCAAUUAUGCCUUCUUAACCAUCCGUCACAUCUUCAAUUGUCAGGGAAUUUCACCAAAAUGUGUCAGGGAAUUUCAUUUUCUAAAUUCUAAGGCAACCCUGUGAUAAUUGCUAGUGAUUUGCAUUCACAUUGAACUGAGAAAAAUAAGUUUCAAGUUCUACUCCUCCCUUAAUGACCCCAUGUUAAGGACACGGUUAAACGACUAUUUCCCCAUUCAAAAUGUUUUCCUCGAUUUUGAAUUUUUGACGAAUGAGGAUUAACGACUAGGUUUUAGAACUUCUUCAAACUAAUUAUUUCUGAGAUUUAGCUUACGGAAUGAUCACUGAAAUUGAUAGACAAAGCUAUGGACAAAGAAGACGAAGAGAUCCUAUUGGUUGACACGGAUGGUUGAUGCAGACUAAAGGAGAAAUGAUGGUCUAGCUGUGGAGUCCUUCGAUCCCUCGUGGGUUGCCGUUAGUUCGUCGCUUGGCUGACAUAAGGGCGUAACUACACACAGGGUUGCCAGCCAAAUUAUUUUUUUCCAUUCCCUGACUUUUCCCUGACUUUCCAAUAUUUUUCCCUGACUUUUAAGUACGGAUCUAACGCAGUCUGUUAAAGUGAAAAUGAGAGCUAUUUUCGACUAUUUAAAUUUUUAGCAGUUCCACCAUCCUCCGCAAUCGAACGCAGUGUAGUCAGUUGAUCCCGCAACGCGAGCCCGAGACCGCCCGCGCCUAAUUCCACGAAAAAUCAGAAAAAUCCCUGACCAACACCGAAAUUCCCUGACUUUCCCUGACUUUUCCCGGUUUUCCCGGUCGCUGGCAACCCUGUACACAUUGAGAUGAGCCCGGAAAAACAUGAAGUUGUACGGAUGACAGGGUUCAUCGCAGAGUGUAGUUACGCCCUUAAGUCAGGAGGGCAACGAGUUUUAGUCUGUUAUUAACCUCCUUGAUCAAUUUUUUCUUUAUUUUCGGAUACAAGUUUGUUUGUUGAUUGCAAAAACUUUCAAAGAAGCUAGAUAAGCUUCCCUUUUGCACCUAUUACAAACGAAAAGAAGAAAUUAAACGUUUGUGAAACGGCAGUCAAAUUAAAACUCGGGCAGCUCUCUCAAUCACGAAGAAGAGGAGCGACCGGUCCAUGGCAACCUCCCGCUUUCAGCAAUGAGAUCACUCCAUUUCCUCUUCGUCUAUCAAUUUCAAUAAUCGGCCUGUUGGUGCGUAACCCGCGGGUCGAUUAUUGAAAUUGAUAGACAAAGCUAUAGACAAAGAAGACGUAACGAGUAUGGAACGAACCCAUUGGUUAAAAUGGGCGGCUCUUAUAGACUAUGGAAAUAAAUGAUGGACUAACUAUCGGGCCUCUCGUGGGUUGCCGUUAGUUAGUCUAUUACCUAUACGUCCUUUGUCUAUUGCAACCUCCCACUUCCACCAGUAGGUUCCCUCUAUAUCCUUUUUGUCUUCUUUGUCUAUUGCUUUGUCUAUCAAUUUCAAUAAUCAGCCCGCUGGUCGAUUCAACCUCAGUCGAAAUGCAGAAUCCUCGCUAAAGGCAACCGUCCCACAGUGGAUCGAGUCGAUAGGAGAAGUCGGACAAAAUCUGGAAACUUUGAAAGCUCAUGUUUUCGAAGAAGUGGAACAAAAGAGUUUGAGAGUGGUUUCAUUGGUUUCUUUAGUAAAAUAUCAUUUCAACAGAGUCCUAUGAAAUUGGAUUUGUGCCGAAAUUUGCAAAAGAUUUGCAGUUUAAGCCGAAAAUUUCAAGUCCAAUCUCUCUGAUUGGCUCGAUCCACUCAAGGUUGCCACAGGAUUUGGAAACUUAAAUUCCCUAACAUUCCACUGACGUCCCUGAUACAAUUUGAUGAAAUUCCCUAACAAUUGAACAAAUGCCCGAUUUCUAAAAGGCAUAAUUAGAAAUAGUUUUCAGGCAAAAUUUGUUAAAAUUUUUCCAUUUGUCAAAAAUCAGGCAAAAUUCGUCAAAAUUUGGCGAAACGUCAAACCCACUCGAGGAAGCAAAUGAAGGUGAUUUGACAAUUUUUCCCUAGAAUUUGUGUCAUUUUUUCUGACAGUUCCAGAUCAGGGUGCCUCCUACCUAAAACAGGCUGGCAAAAAAUCAGGACUUUUACAAUACUUUUUCAAUACAUUCCCAAGAAAUUCAGUACCUCCUCCAACAGAAAAAUUCCGUACUUUUCAGUACCUCCAUUUGACGAAAUUCGAAAAAUUUCAGAAAUUUGAAAUUGCGACAAAGAUAACAAAACAUUAAAAAAAUUCCGGACCGCCCCUAAAAAAUCAGUACUAUUUCCGGACUUUCCGGACUUGUAGACACCAUGCCCUGACUUUUUAACAUUCCCUAAGGUUUCCCAGUAUUCCCUGACUGAGGCAACCCUGCCCACUCUGCCGUGCCAAGGAAAAAAGCCGUAUGAGCCUUCAGAAGUUGCCAAAUUCCACUCGAUAAAACAUGAAUUUCCUGGUGAACUUACGAAUAUUUUUUAUCAAUUUCUUUUUAAA
rnacentral:lncRNA from 1 species